AGGGAAAGCUGACGCUUNACGCCGCGUGCGGGAAGACGGCCUUCGGGUUGUAAACCGCUUUCAGCAGGAACGAAAAUGACGGUACCUGCAGAAGAAGGUGCGGCAACUACGUGCCAGCAGCCGCGGUGACACGUAGGCACCAAGCGUUGUCCGGAUUUAUUGGGCGUAAAGAGCUCGUAGGCGGUUCAGUAAGUCGGGUGUGAAAACUGUGGGCUUAACCCACAGCCUGCACCCGAAACUGCUGUGACUAGAGUUCGGUAGGGGAGCGGGGAAUUCCUGGUGUAGUGGUGAAAUGCGCAGAUAUCAGGAGGAACACCGGUGGCGAAGGCGCCGCUCUGGGCCGAAACUGACGCUGAGGAGCGAAAGCGUGGGUAGCAAACAGGAUUAGAUACCCUGGUAGUCCACGCCGUAAACGUUGGGCACUAGGUGUGGGUCUCAACCAACGAGAUCCGCGCCGUCGCUAACGCAUUAAGUGCCCCGCCUGGGGAGUACGGUCGCAAGACUAAAACUCAAAGGAAUUGACGGGGGCCCGCACAAGCAGCGGAGCGUGUUGCUUAAUUCGAUGCUACGCGAAGAACCUUNACUAGGUUAAAUCAUAGUUG
rnacentral:rRNA from 1 species